UGGGGAAUCUUGGACAAUGGGCGCAAGCCUGAUCCAGCCAUGCCGCGUGGAUGAUGAAGGCCUUAGGGUUGUAAAAUCCUUUCGUGGGGGACGAUAAUGACGGUACCCCAAGAAGAAGCUCCGGCUAACUUCGUGCCAGCAGCCGCGGUAAUACGAAGGGGGCUAGCGUUGUUCGGAUUUACUGGGCGUAAAGCGCGUGUAGGCGGGUCGUUAAGUUGGGGGUGAAAUCCCGAGGCUCAACCUCGGAACUGCCUUCAAAACUGGCGACCUGGACUCAAGCAGAGGCAAGUGGAAUUGCGAGUGUAGAGGUGAAAUUCGUAGAUAUUCGCAGGAACACCAGUGGCGAAGGCGACUUGCUGGGCUUGUAGUGACGCUGAGACGCGAAAGCGUGGGGAGCAAACAGGAUUAGAUACCCCUGUAGUCCCUGAGCGGGCUGGCAAGGCGCAU
rnacentral:rRNA from 1 species